CGCGUAGGCGGUGAGAUAAGUCAGAUGUGAAAUUCCGGGGCUCAACCCCGGAGCUGCAUUUGAAACUAUCUCGCUAGAGGUCAGUUAGGGAAAACGGAAUUCCACGUGUAGCGGUGAAAUGCGUAGAUAUGUGGAAGAACACCAGUGGUGAAGACGGUUUUCUGGGCUGAUACUGACGCUGAGGCGCGAAAGCAAGGGGAGCAAACA
rnacentral:rRNA from 1 species